rnacentral:lncRNA from 1 species
CAUGGAUGCCUUGAAUGUGCAGCUCAGACUUUGAAAAAGACUCAGGGAGACAACUGCAAAUAUCAGAGGGAUGAACCCAAUAAUGGAGAGUGUGUCCCUCAGCCAGAAAACUAGAGGUCAAUGUGGCUAGAACAAAGCAGAAACUCAGGCUCCAGGAGGAAACCAGAUCUGAAGAGCAUUCAUGGGCUGGGGAGAUGCUCGGUGGGUGAAAUGCCUGUCCUGCAAGCAUGGGGACCUGCGUUCAGAUCUCCACCCACGCCUAGGCCAGCUUGGGUCACUGCGCAGCCAGCCUGUCGAGCAGAGCAGAGCAGAGCAGAGGACUGCUGCUGCCCGCCCACCCGAGGCACUCCCAACCUUCUGCUGAGACUGUGUCUGUGGCGUCACGCUCCCUCUCAGAACACACCUUCCACAGAGCAAAGCAUCUCUGACCUUCAAAGAACCAGACACACCUGGAUUUUCACUUCAGCCCAAAUGAGGCAACAGAGCCAUUCAUUGGAAGUAAACCAAAAAAAAAAAAAAAAAAAAAAAAAAAGGAGGCCUGCAGGCAGAAGAGACUGCAGUUUAAGAGGCAUAUAGAAUUCACGUGUCUGAGAAAGAAAAAUGAAGAAGAGAAAAUACAGGGCUGGAAAGGAAGAAAAGCCUAAAAGGGCCACUGGGAAUGGAAGUAGAUAUGAAUUCUGAUUUGGGAGCGCAUAUCCGUGUGUGAUCAAAGACAUGUGUCACCAUCUGGCUUUCUGUGGCAGAAGUCUUGCCAACACUUGGGAAACAGCUGCUAGGAAAUCUGUCGAAAAUCUGACUCAUGGACACCACCUAACCAUUCCUUCCUGGCAGAUACUAAAUCCUGGGAGGCUCAAUCUGCUGUUAUGAACCACAUAUCCAUG